ensembl:lncRNA
AUGGCGGUGCCGGGGGCGUGGCCAGGGGCGCGGGGGGCGGAGCUUUCGGACAGCAGCCCCGAGCCCCCCUCCCCCUCCAGCUCCCGCCCCCCCCAGUCGGACUCCAGCCCCUCCCCCACCGAGACCACGCCCACCUCGCAUGGGCGGGGCCCGGGGGGCGGGGCCAGGGCUCGCCCCGCCCCUCCGAACCUGGGCGGGGUGGGGGGGGAGCGACCCCUGGCGCUGUUUGAGGAGGAGCUGUCUGUCCGUCCGCGCGUUCCGGCGCUGCUGCGCAGGAUGGCCCCGUACAGCGCCCUGAGCCCCGACAGCGACUGCGGCAGCGCCGUGAGACACCAACGGGACAGGGGGACAGCUGGGGGACAGCUGGGGACAGCUGGGGGACAACUGGGGGGGACAUGGGGACACCUGGGGACAGACCUGGGGACAGCUGGAGACAAACCUGAGCACACCUGGGCACAACUGGGGACACCUGGGGGACAGGGGGACAGACCUGGGACACACUGGGGAGACCUGGGGGACAUGGGGGGACAUGGGGACACACCUGGGGACACACCUGGGCACACCUGGGGACACCUGGGGACACCUGGGGGGACAGCUGGGGGACAGGGGGACACACCUGGGGACAGCUGGGGACAGCUGAGGGCACACCUGGGACUCCUGGGGACUGCUGGGGGACAUGGGAACAGACCUGGGUGUACCUGGGGACAGCAGGGGACACCUGGGGGACAUGGGAACACCUGGGGACACACCUUGGGGGACAGACCUGGAGACAGCUGGGGACAUGGGGAAACACUUGGGGACACACCUGGUGACAGCUGGGGGGACAUGAGGGCACACCUGGGACACACCUGUGGGACAUGGGGAGACCUGGGGGACAUGGGGACAACUGGGGACUGCUGGGACAUACCUGGGGGGACACCUGGGACAGCUGGGAGGACACCUGGGCACACCUGGGGGACAGCUGGGGGACAGCUGACGGACAGGGGGACAGACCUGGGGACACCUGGGACACACCUGCGGACACCUGGGGACACACCUGGGGACAUGGGGAAACACCUGGGGGACAGGAGGAGACCUGGGACACACCUGGGGACAACUGGAGACUGCUGGGGACAGAUGGGGUAACACCUGGGACACCUGGGGGACACCUGGGACACACCUGACACACCUGGGGACUGCUGGGGAAUCCUGGGGACACCUGGGGACAUGAGGACACCUGGGGAUACCCGGGGGCAGCUGGGGGGACAUGGGGGCACACCUGGGGACACACCACCCCUGUGUGACCCCAUGACCCCUGUGUGACCCUGUGACCCCUGUGUGACCCCGUGCCCCCUGUGUGACCCCACAGCGCAGGUCCCUGGGCACGCUGCGGGGGGUGCUGACCCCUGUGUGACCCCUGUCUGACCCCUGUGUGACCCCAUGACCCCUGUGUGACCCCGUGCCCCCUGUGUGACCCCACAGCGCAGGUCCCUGGGCAUGCUGCGGGGGGUGCUGACCUCUGUGUGACCCCGUGAACCCUGUGUGACCCCUCUCCCCACAGCGCAGGUCCCUGGGCACCCUGCAGGGGGUGCUGACCUCUGUGUGACCCCGUGACCCCUGUGUGCCCCCGUGUGACCCCGUGACCCCUGUGUGACCCCCGUGUGACCCCUGUGUGACCCCGUGCCCCCUGUGUGACCCCACAGCGCAGGUCCCUGGGCACGCUGCGGGGGGUGCUGACCCCUGUGUGACCCCUGUGUGACCCCUGUGUGACCCCAGUCUGACCCCGUGCCCCCUGUGUGACCCCUGUGUGACCCCUAUCUGACCCCUCUCCCCACAGCGCAGGUCCCUGGGCACGCUGCGGGGGGUGCUGGCGCCGUCGCUGCAGUCGCUGCUGGGGCUGGUGCUGCUGCUGCGCCUGCCCUGGGUGGUGGGGCAGGGCGGGGUGCUGGGCACCGCCGCCAUCGGGGCCCUCAUGGGCACCUGCGUGAGUCACCUGGGGCACACCUGGGCACACCUGGGGACAUCUGGGCACACCUGGGCACACCUGGGGUCUGGGGCAGGGCGGGGUGCUGGGCACCGCCGCCAUCGGGGCACUGAUGGGCACCUGCGUGAGUCACCUGGGGCACCUGGGACACCUGGGGGGACAUCUGGGGACACCUGGGCACACCCGGGUGGUGGGGCAGGGCGGGGUGCUGGGCACCGCCGCCAUCGGGGCGCUGAUGGGCACCUGCGUGAGUCACCUGGGGCACCUGGGGGCACCUGGGCACACCUGGGGGCACCUGGGGCACACCUGGGGAAACACCUGGGGUCUGGGGCAGGGCGGGGUGCUGGGCACCGCCGCCAUCGGGGCACUGAUGGGCACCUGCGUGAGUCACCUGGGCACCUGGGCACACCUGGGGACAUCUGGGGUCACACCUGGGGGUACCCUGGCACACAUGGGCACACCUGGGCACACCUGGGCACACCUGGGCACACCUGGGCACACCUGGGGGCACCUGAGCACACCUGGGCACACCUGGGGACACACCUGGGCACACCUGGGGCACACCUGGGGACACCUGGGCACACAUGGGAACACCUGGGGGCACCUGGGCACACACCUGGGUUCGGGGUCAUGUUCUGGGUGCUCUGUGGGGGUGAGAUCAGAGGUCAGUGGGGUCAGAGGGGUCAGAGGUCAGUGGGGUCAAUGGGGUCGGUGGGGUCAGCAGGGUCAGAGGUCAGCAAGGUCAGAGGUCAGAGGUCAUGGGUCACCAUCCCCCCCCGCAGAUGCUGCUGACCGCCGUGUCCCUGAGCGCUGUGGCCACCAACGGGCUGGACCCCGGUGAGCGGUGGGGGGAGGGGACGGGCCGGGGUGGCUCUGCCCUGUGGGCGUGUCCUUGCUGACCCCGCCCCGUGACGUCACGCAGGGGGCGGGGCGCUGUCGCUGCUGUCGGGGGCGCUGGGCCCCGAGGCCGGAGGGGCCGUGGGGCUCUGCGGCUUCCUGAGCGCCGCCUUCGGGGCCGCAGCCGCCGCGCUGGGCGGGGCCGAGCUCCUCAUGGUGAGGGCGGGGCCUGAGGGGGGCGGGGCUUAAUGGGGCGGGGCAGCA